rnacentral:rRNA from 1 species
GCACAAGCGGUGGAGCAUGUGGUUAAUUCGAUGAUACGCGAAAACCUUACCCGGGCUUGACAUGCAUCAGACAGGCGUAGAGAUACGCCUCCGCGAGGCUGGUGCACAGGUGCUGCAUGGUUGUCGUCAGCUCGUGUCGUGAGAUGUUGGGUUAAGUCCCGCAACGAGCGCAACCCUCGUCAUUAGUUGCUACGAAAGGGCACUCUAAUGAGACUGCCGGUGACAAACCGGAGGAAGGUGGGGAUGACGUCAAGUCCUCAUGGCCCUUAUGGGUAGGGCUUCACACGUCAUACAAUGGUCGGUACAGAGGGUUGCCAAGCCGCGAGGCGGAGCCAAUCCCACAAAGCCGAUCGUAGUCCGGAUUGUUCUCUGCAACUCGAGAGCAUGAAGUCGGAAUCGCUAGUAAUCGCAGGUCAGCAUACUGCGGUGAAUACGUUCCCGGGUCUU